rnacentral:rRNA from 1 species
CCUACGGGUCGCACCAGUGGGGAAUAUUGGACAAUGGGCGAAAGCCUGAUCCAGCAAUGCCGCGUGUGUGAAGAAGGUCUUCGGAUUGUAAAGCACUUUCAGUAGGGAGGAAGGUAGUGUAGUUAACACCUGCAUUAUUUGACGUUACCUACAGAAGAAGCCCCGGCUAACUUCGUGCCAGCAGCCGCGGUAAUACGAAGGGGGCUAGCGUUGUUCGGAAUUACUGGGCGUAAAGCGCGCGUAGGCGGAUAGAUAAGUCAGAGGUGAAAUCCCGGGGCUCAACCCCGGAAUUGCCUUUGAUACUGUUUAUCCUGAGUGCAGAAGAGGUAAGUGGAAUUCCGAGUGUAGAGGUGAAAUUCGUGGAUAUUCGGAGGAACACCAGUGGCGAAGGCGGCUUACUGGUCUGCAACUGACGCUGAGGCGCGAAAGCGUGGGGAGCAAACAGGAUUAGAUACCCUAGUAGUC